CCUUAGAGUUUGAUCCUGGCUCAGGAUGAACGCUGGCGGCGUGCAUAACACAUUCAAGUCGAACGGACUUUGUCGGAUUAAUUCUUCGGAAAGCGUACGAUAAAGUUAGUGGCGGACGGGUGAGUAACGCGUGAGCAACCUGCCUUUGAUAGGGGGAUAACAGAGGGAAACUUCUGCUAAUACCGCAUGAUGCAUGGGGAUCGCAUGGAACCCAUGCCAAAGGAGCAAUCCGAUCAAAGAUGGGCUCGUGUCCGAUUAGAUAGUUGGUGGGGUAACGGCCCACCUAGUCAACGAUGGAUAGGGGUUCUGAGAGGAAGGUCCCCCACAUUGGAACUGAGACACGGUCCAAACUCCUACGGGAGGCAGCAGUGAGGAAUAUUGGUCAAUGGGCGAUGGCCUGAACCAGCCAAGUAGCGUGAAGGAUGACUGCCCUAUGGGUUGUAAACUUCUUUUAUAAAGGAAUAAAGUCGGGUACGCAUACCCGUUUGCAUGUACUUUAUGAAUAAGGAUCGGCUAACUCCGUGCCAGCAGCCGCGGUAAUACGGAGGAUCCGAGCGUUAUCCGGAUUUAUUGGGUUUAAAGGGAGCGUAGAUGGAUGUUUAAGUCAGUUGUGAAAGUUUGCGGCUCAACCGUAAAAUUGCAGUUGAUACUGGAUGUCUUGAGUGCAGUUGAGGCAGGCGGAAUUCGUGGUGUAGCGGUGAAAUGCUUAGAUAUCACGAAGAACUCCGAUUGCGAAGGCAGCCUGCUAAGCUGCAACUGACAUUGAGGCUCGAAAGUGUGGGUAUCAAACAGGAUUAGAUACCCUGGUAGUCCACACGGUAAACGAUGAAUACUCGCUGUUUGCGAUAUACGGCAAGCGGCCAAGCGAAAGCGUUAAGUAUUCCACCUGGGGAGUACGCCGGCAACGGUGAAACUCAAAGGAAUUGACGGGGGCCCGCACAAGCGGAGGAACAUGUGGUUUAAUUCGAUGAUACGCGAGGAACCUUACCCGGGCUUAAAUUGCACUCGAAUGAUCCGGAAACGGUUCAGCUAGCAAUAGCGAGUGUGAAGGUGCUGCAUGGUUGUCGUCAGCUCGUGCCGUGAGGUGUCGGCUUAAGUGCCAUAACGAGCGCAACCCUUGUUGUCAGUUACUAACAGGUGAUGCUGAGGACUCUGACAAGACUGCCAUCGUAAGAUGUGAGGAAGGUGGGGAUGACGUCAAAUCAGCACGGCCCUUACGUCCGGGGCUACACACGUGUUACAAUGGGGGGUACAGAGGGCCGCUACCACGCGAGUGGAUGCCAAUCCCUAAAACCCCUCUCAGUUCGGACUGGAGUCUGCAACCCGACUCCACGAAGCUGGAUUCGCAAGUAAUCGCGCAUCAGCCACGGCGCGGUGAAUACGUUCCCGGGCCUUGCACACACCGCCCGUCAAG
rnacentral:rRNA from 1 species